AUUGAACGCUGGCGGCAGGCCUAACACAUGCAAGUCGCGCGGAGCGGCGGACGGGUGAGUAAUGCCUAGGCAUCUGCCUGGUAGUUGGGGAUAACGUCCGGAAACGGGCGCUCAUACCGCAUACUCUCAGAUGAGCCUAGGUCGGAUUCGCUAGUUGGUGGGGUAAAGGCCUACCCAGGCGACGAUCCGUAACUGGUCUGAGAGGAUGAUCAGUCACAAUGGAACGGAGACAAGGUCCAGACUCCGACGGGAGGCAGCAGUGGGGAAUAUUGGACAAUGGGGGAAAGCAUGAUCCAGCCAUGCCGCGUGUGUGAAGAAGGUCUUCGGAGUGUAAAGCACUUUAAGUUGGGAGGCGUUACCAACAGAAUAAGCACCGGCUAACUUCGUGCCAGCAGCAGCGGGAAUUC
rnacentral:rRNA from 1 species